ensembl:lncRNA
UCGGCACCAAAAGGAAGAGGACUUUGCUGCCAGCAUCCUUGGGGGACUCCGAAAACACCCAUCUGAAGGAGGGUGGCAGAGGCAAACGGCUGCAGAUCAAGCCCAGGCUGUGAAGAAGAGCCCAACCCAACAGCAUCCAACCAGCUCAGGAACCGCAGAGCCGGGCACGACCCAGCACCUACCUCAGGACGCCGCGCCUGGACGUGGCACCUUCUUCUCUUCUUGCUCUUUGGGGACGUUGUUGUGGCAGGGAAUGGGGUGGCAGCACUGGGGCAGCACCACCCGCUCCUGCAGCUUCAUUGGGAGUAUUUUAAGUUGCCAAUAAAUUAUCUUGGUCCAGUUUAGUGAAGGCAAAACUCUGCUCCAGGCUCUUUGGAUGCUCACGGGGUUGGGAGGAGGCUCCCGUCUCCAUCAGUCCUCCUGCAGAUCACAGCUCUGCUGCUUGUCCAGGACAUGAGGUGAUGUCCCAUCGUGUGAUGUGCCCUUAUACAGGUCAGCCACUCUACUGGGAUCAAGGAUGUCCAGUGGUCUCAAGUCAUCACCACACUGGGAUGUAACAGGGCAUAAAGCCCCCCCAGAACUCCAGUCUCUCCAUACCAGCUCCAUCCAUCCUGCUCCAUCCCCUUGCUAUUGGGAGGGGAUUUCUUGGAGCAGAGCCAUGUGCCAAGAGCAUCCCAAGUGGAAACGUGUUGGGAGCAGCAUUGAGCUCACACCAAAGGCUCCUGCAGCGUGUCGGGGUCCCCAUGGCUGGUUACACCCUGAUUCCCAUCUCUCCUUAUCCCAGCAGGGGUUUGGUUUCCCUUGGGAGACCCAAUCCAGCUCUUUUGGGUCCUUCCCAAAUCCAAGCAGGAGCAAACCAUGGGAAGAGCAUUGUGCAGAGCGGAGUACUGGCCAUGCAGCUGCUGGUACAAUGGGUUUUGCAUCCAUGGGUUCAAUUUCCACCUGGAUUUCAAGGCAGUGGAUGCUGUUCCCACACACGGAUGCGAUUCUGGGCACAGCAACAGGACCAAGAGGUGCUGAGAGCCAUGUGUGGUGGCAGGAUUUGCCCAUCCACUGCCCCUCCAUCCCAUCCCCUGCAUGGAAAAGGCAUCAGCAGGGACAUGGGUGAGCACUGGGGCUCCCUGGGGACCCAGCACCCAGCUGGGCUUGGUGAUGGGGUGGGUGAUGGAGCCACCACGGUGCCAUGGGCUCAGCUGCACCGUGGAUACAAGGGGCUGAUGGCUUCAAUUUCACCCCUAGGGGACCCCCAUGGAGGGGGGUAUCUUGUCAUCACCCCACAUCUACAGGAUGGGGUGCUCUUGGUGGGGGAUUUAUCACCUGGCUCAAGUGACUUGGACCCUGGGAUGCCUCCAAAGGCACCAUGUGGCUCCUAUGUAAGGAUGCUGAACUGGCAAUGGUGUUUAGUGCCACUUGGACACCAGUUUGGGGUGGCCUCAUCCCCAUCAUCCCCCCAGCUAUUGUGAGGACCAGCAGCUCCCACCCCAGCCUGUGCACCACGAGCUGUUUUUUAGUGACUCCUUUGUUGUUUCCAUUUCUAUUAAAUGUCUUUGGCUCACCCUUGUGUUUUGAUAUGUAAAUAAAGAGGUUGUUCUCCGG